UAUCACUCUGACAAGACCACUCAUCAUGUUCACCAUUACACUCCUGUGUGUGUGGCUUUCACUGGGUGACUCUAUGGCAGAGCCAAUAGAACCACUUUUCCCCAGUGAAGCUGUGUUUCAGGGUGAUAAUGUUACUCUGUCCUGCAACUAUAAAGAGUUCAGUGGUACUAUAGAGAAUCUCCACUGGUACCAACAAUAUCCACAAUCCAAACCAGAAUUCCUCCUUUACAUCUUUCCAAGUGGAACUAAAAGUGAACCUCUCCCACCACGUCUAUCUGCCAAUGUUGAUAAAAAUCUGAAACAAGUGGAUCUGCUGAUCUCCUCUGCUGCAGUAUCAGACUCUGCACUGUACUACUGUGCCCUGGUGCCCACAGUCUGAGGAAUCCUAGCUACACUGUACAAAAACCUCCUACUACACAGAUAAGAUUAAAUAGGUACAAUAUACAUGAUGAAUAUGAUUUAAAUAUGUAUCUGAAA